rnacentral:rRNA from 1 species
UACGUAGGGGGCAAGCGUUGUCCGGAUUUAUUGGGCGUAAAGCGCUCGCAGGUGGUUCGUCGCGUCGUGCGUGAAAGACCCCGGCUCAACUGGGGGAGGUCGUGCGAUACGGGCGGACUGGAGGCCAGUAGGGGGAUGCGGAAUUCCGGGUGUAGUGGUGGAAUGCGUAGAGAUCCGGAGGAACACCAGCGGCGAAGGCGGCAUCCUGGACUGGUCCUGACACUCAUGAGCGAAAGCGUGGGGAGCGAACAGG